AUUAGAGUUUAUAAUGUAUGGUUAGUUUAGAUUAGAGGUUGUAAUGUAUGGUUAGUUUAGAUUAGAGGUUGUAAUGUAUGGUUAGUUUAGAUUAGAGGUUGUAAUGUAUGUUUAGUUUAGAUUAGAGGUUAUAAUGUAUGGUUAGUUUAGAGGUUAUAAUGUAUGGUUAGAUUAGAGGUUAUAAUGUAUGUUUAGUUUAGAUUAGAGGUUAUAAUGUAUGUUUAGUUUAGAUUAGAGGUUAUAAUGUAUGUUUAGUUUAGAUUAGAGGUUGUAAUGUAUGUUUAGUUUAGAUUAGAGGUUGUAAUGUAUGGUUAGUUUAGAUUAGAGGUUAUAAUGUAUGGUUAGAUUAGAGGUUAUAAUGUAUGGUUAGAUUAGAGGUUAUAAUGUAUGGUUAGAUUAGAGGUUAUAAUGUAUGGUUAGAUUAGAGGUUAUAAUGUAUGGUUAGAUUAGAGGUUAUAAUGUAUGGUUAGAUUAGAGGUUGUAAUGUAUGGUUAGUUUAGAUUAGAGGUUAUAAUGUAUGGUUAGAUUAGAUUAGAGGUUAUAAUGUAUGGUUAGUUUAGAUUAGAGGUUGUAAUGUAUGUUUAGUUUAGAUUAGAGGUUGUAAUGUAUGGUUAGUUUAGAUUAGAGGUUGUAAUGUAUGGUUAGAUUAGAUUAGAGGUUAUAAUGUAUGGUUAGGUUAGAUUAGAGGUUAUAAUGUAUGGUUAGAUUAGAUUAGAGGUUAUAAUGUAUGGUUAGAUUAGAUUAGAGGUUAUAAUGUAUGGUUAGUUUAGAUUAGAGGUUAUAAUGUAUGGUUAGUUUAGAUUAGAGGUUGUAAUGUAUGGUUAGAUUAGAUUAGAGGUUAUAAUGUAUGGUUAGUUUAGAUUAGAGGUUGUAAUGUAUGGUUAGAUUAGAUUAGAGGUUAUAAUGUAUGGUUAGAUUAGAUUAGAGGUUGUAAUGUAUGGUUAGAUUAGAUUAGAGGUUGUAAUGUAUGGUUAGUUUAGAUUAGAGGUUAUAAUGUAUGGUUAGUUUAGAGGUUGUAAUGUAUGGUUAGAUUAGAGUUUAUAAUGUAUGGUUAGUUUAGAUCAGAGGUUAUAAUGUAUGGUUAGUUUAGAGGUUGUAAUGUAUGGUUAGAUUAGAGUUUAUAAUGUAUGGUUAGAUUAGAUUAGAGGUUGUAAUGUAUGGUUAGAUUAGAGUUUAUAAUGUAUGGUUCGAUUAGAUUAGAGGUUGUAAUGUAUGGUUAGAUUAUAGAUUAGAGU